rnacentral:rRNA from 1 species
CAGUAGCCGCGGGAAUACGUAGGUGGCAAGCGUUGUCCGGAAUUAUUGGGCGUAAAGCGGGCGCAGACGGUUACUUAAGCAGGAUGUGAAAUCCCCGGGCUCAACCUGGGAAUUGCGUACUGAACUGGGUGGCUAGAGUGUGUCAGAGGGGGGUAGAAUUCCACGUGUAGCAGUGAAAUGCGUAGAGAUGUGGAGGAAUACCGAUGGCGAAGGCAGCCCCCUGGGAUAGCACUGACGUUCAUGCCCGAAAGCGUGGGUAGCAAACAGGAUUAGAUACCCGGGUAGUCCCUGUCUCUUAUAA